rnacentral:rRNA from 1 species
CCUACGGGAGGCAGCAGUGAGGAAUAUUGGUCAAUGGCCGGAAGGCUGAACCAGCCAAGUCGCGUGAGGGACGACUGCCCUAUGGGUUGUAAACCUCUUUUAUAAGGGAAGAAUAAAUGCUACGUGUAGCAUGAUGCCUGUACCUUAUGAAUAAGCAUCGGCUAACUCCGUGCCAACAGCCGCGGUAAUACGGAGGAUGCGAGCGUUAUCCGGAUUUAUUGGGUUUAAAGGGUGAGUAGGCGGUUUUUUAAGUUAGUGGUUAAACGUCGGGGCUUCACCUUGAUUUGCCAUUAAUACUGUAAGACUAGAGUACAGACGAGGUAGGCGGAAUAAGUUAAGUAGCGGUGAAAUGCUUAGAUAUAACUUAGAACUCCGAUAGCGAAGGCAGCUUACCAGACUGCGACUGACGCUGAAGCACGAGAGCGUGGGUAGCGAACAGGAUUAGAUACCCUUGUAGUC